rnacentral:rRNA from 1 species
UGGCGAACGGGUGAGUAACACGUGGGUGAUCUGCCUUGCACUCUGGGAUAAGCUUGGGAAACUGGGUCUAAUACCGGAUAGGAACCGUCUUUAGUGUGGUGGUUGGAAAGUUUCUUCGGUGCAAGAUGAGCUCGCGGCCUAUCAGCUUGUUGGUGGGGUAAUGGCCUACCAAGGCGUCGACGGGUAGCCGGCCUGAGAGGGUGUACGGCCACAUUGGGACUGAGAUACGGCCCAG